AAGAGAUGUUAACAGGCUGUAUGAUGUUGGCCACAGAGUGCCCCCCUAAAGAGGCCUCAGAAGAAUGAAGGGUAAGAAGCUCCUCCAUGAAAUCAGAUGGCACAAAAUUAGAGGAAAAAGAGUCCUUGGCAUGAGGCUGCCACCAGGAGAAUUCUGAAGAUGCAGGGCAUGAAUGGUCAAUGCCUUUCGUUGUUGGGGCAGAGGUGGAUGACCCACCAGAGCCACCUAGAGAUAACAUUUCCGGAAAAGUCUUCAAGACGUAAACCAGGCAUUACCCAAGUCCCACUUCGCUGUUUGGAGCCCUUAACUUGGACCCCACCAACUACACUGCCUUGAAAGCCUGAAAUACUGCCUGGAAUAUUUGUUGUACCCAGGCUUUUCUACUCUCAGGAUCACAUAUGUCCUCAAAUCCGUCUUAUCUACAGUAUGUUUUUGCCUUACAUAAAUGCAGAUAUAAAACUUAAA
ensembl:lncRNA novel transcript